rnacentral:rRNA from 1 species
ACUCCUACGGGAGGCAGCAGUGGGGAAUAUUGCACAAUGGGCGCAAGCCUGAUGCAGCCAUGCCGCGUGUAUGAAGAAGGCCUUCGGGUUGUAAAGUACUUUCAGCGGGGAGGAAGGCGACGGGGUUAAUAACCCUGUCGAUUGACGUUACCCGCAGAAGAAGCACCGGCUAACUCCGUGCCAGCAGCCGCGGUAAU